CUUAUAUGCUAGGAAGAGGACAGAGCUGAGUGCAGGGCCGUAAGCAACCUCAAAGGUUUUUCCUGUUAGUGUUUCACAGUGUGAUUUGAGGAACCACAGGUGUGGUAAUUAAUGCUGGGUUUGGGUCUUUGUUAGUAUGGAAAAUUUUGGAUCUCCUAGGUGCUAUAUGAAGAACGGAAGUGAAGAAGGCUGAAGAAGAUGCUAAAAGCCUGAACCUAGAGCAGUGAGAACCAGCAGCUGUAUGGCCUCCUCCUGGCCCACCCACUCUAACUAACCAUGUGGCCCUUGCUUCCCUCUAUAUGCUCCUAUAUCAUAAUCUGGCUACCCAGAUAAUUCAAUAUCCAAUAAAUUUACCCAAAUGACCCAGAUGUGUCACGGCUCCCCCACCUGGGAGUGAAGCAAAACUAAACAAAGGCUCUCUGUCAUUACACUGGACACGUGGAGAAAACAGACCCACUACAAAGGGACUCUUUUUAAGUCUUCUGAGUCUCCUGUGCCUAGUGUCUUGACUUUUAAUUUUUAGGGAGCCCUUGGAAUACUUGUGAGUGCUAAUGGGAUCUGACAAGACAAAUACAUCCGGAAACUCCACUCCCACAGCCCCAAGCCCUGCCAAACCACCAGGAUAUUCUGUGAAAGUAGGCUUGAUGUGGCAUUUGCUUUGACGGACGGUCUGAUGACUCUGAAGCAGACUUGACUGGAGAAAUGAAAAGAUAAAUCUGUCAUCCUCAGGUUCCUGGGUCUGCCUGGAGCACAGUUGUUAGUGGGUGGGCACAUGGUGGGAGUGGGGUUCUCAGAUUAGUUCCAGUACUGCCUUUUGAAGACCAUCUGUGACACUGGUUUCAACCCUAGGCUUUAGAAUCCUACCCAACAGGGAUCCAGAAACAACUGUCCUACUGUGUGAGACUUGGAGACUCUUUUUGAUUCGUCACCUGUAAAUGGAGUCAUAGCAGUUCCCUCUUAUGAGAAUUGUGUGUCCUGUGUUAGGUGUGUUGUUGAAAAUUGAACCCAGGACCUUGUAUAAGCUAUGAAAGAACUCUACCAGUCAGCUGCGUUCCCCUGCCUGGAAUGGUCUCUUGUGGCAGCUGGCGAAGUGAUGAGGAAGUUAAAUGCACAUGGGAGGGAGGCUCGGACUGCAGCUCAGUGGUAGAGGACUUCCUAACCUGCGUGAUGUCCUCGGUCGGACUCUCCAGGGCCACAUUCAACAAAUAAGAAAACCACCGUGUCUUCACUGCCCUGUCUGCCUGCCCUUCUUUCUGUGUUUCUUGGGUUCCUCGUAGUAGGACGCCUGCCCGGUAGGGGGCGCCCAAAGAAUGGGUGAGUUGAAGCGUAAAGAUUCCUACCUGCCCCCACUCCCAAGAAAUCCCAGAAACUUGGGAUCCUCAGGGCUUAGCCCCGUUUCGCAGGAAGGGAAGUUAGCAGACACUCCGGCUAGCCCCACCCCUGUGGCACACCCACCGCCUCCUGGAGACUACACUGACCUAAGGAGAGCAUGGAUUCUUCGCGCUCCUCCUCUAGGAGGGCAUCGACGUCCAGCGAUCUGCUACCGUGCAGCAACAGCUCUAAACGUGCUUGCUGCUGGAUCUCCUCUGGCUUGAGGUUGAGGUUCUCCUUCAUAGAAAUGGUCUGGCUGUA